rnacentral:tRNA from 1 species
AUAAAAUUAGUUAAAUUGAUAUAAUAAUAUAAGUUUGUCAAGCUUAAGUUACCUUUUAGGGUAUUUUAUA